CGGUAAUACGUAGGGUGCGAGCGUUAAUCGGAAUUACUGGGCGUAAAGCGUGCGCAGGCGGAUUGUUAAGCAAGACGUGAAAUCCCCGGGCUUAACCUGGGAAUGGCGUUUUGAACUGGCAGUCUAGAGUGUGUCAGAGGGGGGUGGAAUUCCACGUGUAGCAGUGAAAUGCGUAGAGAUGUGGAGGAACACCAAUGGCGAAGGCAGCCCCCUGGGAUAACACUGACGCUCAUGUACGAAAGCGUGGGUAGCAAACAGGAUUAGAUACCCUGGUAGUCCACGCCCUAAACGAUGUCAACUGGUUGUUGGGGGAGUGAAGUCCCUUAGUAACGAAGCUAACGCGUGAAGUUGACCGCCUGGGGAGUACGGUCGCAAGAUUAAA
rnacentral:rRNA from 1 species